rnacentral:rRNA from 1 species
ACAUGCCUACAUCUUAGUGUUAAUGCAUAAGAUCCCAUUAGAACUCUGCAGUUAAGCCUACUUAGGCUAGAGUAGUACUGGGAUGGGUGACUGCCCGGGAAGUCCUAGUAUUUUACAUGCC